CUCUGCGCAUGCGCUGUGGCGAUCUUUGUGCCGCUCUGCGCAUGCACCGAUAUCGGCUGCCGGCAGAGCCUUCUGUUUGUUCCCGAAGACAAAGGUAUUUUACGACCCCAGGUUUCCAAUCCCUCUGAUUUUCUUGUUGAUUCCGAAAUGAGCAUCUCUUGGCAUUGAACACUCGCUCAAAUUGAAGAUACUGAAGGCUUUUACCGAUGGUUACGGACUUCUGAACAGGAACGCAGACUUUCACUGUCGCAACACAGUGAAGGAUGAGGCAUCCUCCAACCAUCAAGCCAUUCGUUAACAACACAUCUCAGCAUUGGAGAACCACUGUAAAAACAUUAAAUGUUUUGGGCAUCAGGAAUUUAUUCCCUCUGAGGGAGUAGACAGCAUUUUGAAUUUGGACAAAUUUGCAGAGAUAUAUCAAUUAUCUAGAACGAGUUAUAAAGUAACUUUAAAAAUGUGGGAGGGUCAUCUUCGAAAAGGAAUCAACAAAGUAUGUUUUGCCGGAAUCAAACAGAAAUGUUGGAUUUCUGUUUUAAAAUAUUAUAUGAUGAUUUACCACAGACUACGAAUCACUCCAGACCUCUGGAAUUAGUUGGUGGAAAUAAUUAAAUUGUAAAAUUGGAUGAGAUGAAUUAAUUAGGAUUGGAGAAUAGUAGUAGAAGAAAACAAAUUAGAAUAAUCAGUUGGAAUGGUAAUUGAAGUUAACAUGAAUUUUAAUGAAAAGGAAAUUUUGGUGAGUGUACUAAACUGAUAGUCUUUGCAUGGUGAUAUUUGUGCUCUUGUCUUUCCUUUUAAGAGAAUCCCCGAGGCAUCGGGACUGUAAGUGGAGAGAUAAGUAAAAUCUCAUAGAUCUUUUGAUAAGAUCAUACAGGAGUCAAGACAUGGUCUUGAGAUAGUGAUGUAAGCAUGCAAAAGUAAUUGUUACCUUGGAAGUAACAAACAUGAGGGAAUGCAUGGUAAAAAAAAACUGGACUGAAGCACGGGCCCUUAGACAUGUAUACCUACUUGACAAAUGGAUUAGUGUAGCUCAGAAGAGCAUAAAAGCAAAGUUUAAACUAUAAGACACUGUCACAUAAUCCACAGAAAAACUGACUUUAAAACAGUGAUAGUGAGCUGAAGUGAAAGGGCCCAAAAAUAAUGACAAACAGAUACCUCGAAAAAAAGAGGGGAAGCAUAAGCUGAAGGUAAAGCCUGAUGAGCACACUGUAACUUGUUAGAGCUGAAUUGUUUGAUAACAUGUACAUUGCAGACCCGAGGAGGCACUUUCACAUGGAGAUGAUUCAAUGACUCAAUCAUUCAUAAAAUUGGCAAAGAAGGAAAAGUAUUAAAGAAGUAUCCUCAAGAUGGAUACAA